AGAGGCGCAGUUCACGAAGUCAGUGAAAAAAUUUGCCUUGUUACUUCCUAUAACAAACGAGACUCUAGCCUGCUAAUUAGUACGCCAGUCCUCUGUUCCUUUGCUGGCGGCGUUUUGGCGAAACUGCUCAAUUCAGGUGACUUCUUUCGGGCCACGCAUUUCUCUGCGCGCGUGUGCUGCGAGCCCUUCCCGGGGUGAGUGGUGUGCGUGCGUGUGGGGGCGUAAAAUGUGGUAAGAGGUGUGAACGGUGGGUUCAGCGCUAGCCACUGGGUACGUCGCAGGUGUGUCUACUUCUUAGAGGGCCAAGCAUUACGAAUGUGCAAGAAAUUGAGCAAGAAGAGGUCUGUGAUGCCCU
rnacentral:ncRNA from 1 species